UACGAAGGUCCCGAGCGUUGUUCGGAAUCACUGGGCGUAAAGGGAGCGUAGGCGGCGUGGUAAGUCAGACGUGAAAUCCCGGGGCUCAACCCCGGAACUGCGUCCGAUACUGCCGUGCUUUGAGGGUUGGAGAGGUAGCUGGAAUUCUUGGUGUAGCAGUGAAAUGCGUAGAUAUCGAGAGGAACACCUGCGGCGAAGGCGGGUUGCUGGGCUGACACUGACG
rnacentral:rRNA from 1 species